rfam:Saitoella complicata NRRL Y-17804 DNA, contig: contig002, whole genome shotgun sequence.
GCUUGAGUGGUGUAAUGGUAACAUGGUACCUUCCCAAGGUACCGCCCCGGGUUCGAUUCCCGGCUCUGGCA